rnacentral:rRNA from 1 species
GGGCUUAAAGAGUUCGUAGGUGGUUAAAAAAGUUGGUGGUGAAAUCCCAGAGCUUAACUCUGGAACUGCCAUCAAAACUUUUUAGCUAGAGUUUGAUAGAGGAAAGCAGAAUUUCUAGUGUAGAGGUGAAAUUCGUAGAUAUUAGAAAGAAUACCGAUUGCGAAGGCAGCUUUCUGGAUCAUUACUGACACUGAGGAACGAAAGCAUGGGUAGCGAAGAGGAUUAGAUACCCUCGUAGUCCAUGCCGUAAACGAUGUGUGUUAGAUGUUGGAAAUUUAUUUUCAGUAUCGCAGCGAAAGCGUUAAACACACCGCCUGGGGAGUACGACCGCAAGGUUAAAACUCAAAUGAAUUGACGGGGACCCGCACAAGUAGUGGAGCAUGUGGUUUAAUUCGAAGAUACGCGCAGAACCUUACCAACACUUGACAUGUUUGUCGCGACUUUAAGAGAUUAAAGUCUUCGGUUCGGCCGGACAAAACACAGGUGCUGCAUGGCUGUCGUCAGCUCGUGUCGUGAGAUGUUGGGUUAAGUCCCGCAACGAGCGCAACCCUCACUUUUAGUUGCCAUCAUUUAGUUGGGCACUCUGAAAGAACUGCCAGUGAUAAGCUGGAGGAAGGUGGGGAUGACGUCAAGUCCUCAUGGCCCUUACGUGUUGGGCUACACACGUGCUACAAUGGCAUUUACAAUAGGAAGCAAAACGGCGACGUUGAGCAAAUCCUAAAAAAAUGCCUCAGUUCGGAUUGUACUCUGCAACUCGAGUACAUGAAGCUGGAAUUACUAGUAAUCGCGGAUCAGCGCGC